UCUAGGGCCAGUGUGGGGCUGUGGGGAGCUGUAAGGGGAGAUGGGGCUUUAGGGACUGGGGGACUGUAGGGAGGGUUUUAGGGCUGUAGAGGGGACAUGGGGUGCUAUGGGGCUGUAGGGAGCAGGGGAAUAAUAUGGGGCUGUAGGGGGCUAUUGGGGGAGCUAUAUGGCUCUAUGGGGAGGCUUUGAAGGAAAGUGGGUGGGCUAUAGGGGGUUUAUACGUGGUUAUGUGGCUAUAGGGUUCUGUGGGUGGGCUGUAGGAGGGUUCUAGUAGGGUAGGAGGCUAUAGGGGGCUAUGGAGGAGAUAUAAGGAGACAUGGGGCAAUUGUGGGUUUUUAGGGGGCUGUGGUGGGCUGUGUGAGGGUAUAGGAUGAUAGAGGGCCGGAGAGGGUUUCUAGAGAGGGAUGUUAUGCUGGAGAAGGUACGGGGGGGAUAAAAGAGGGCUUUGGAGGUUAUGAAGGGGCUCUUUUGGGCUCUUUGGAGAUAUAGGGAGAUCUGAG
rnacentral:lncRNA from 1 species